rnacentral:rRNA from 1 species
GACGAACGCUGGCGGCGUGCUUAACACAUGCAAGUCGAACGGAAAGGCCCUGCUUUUGUGGGGUGCUCGAGUGGCGAACGGGUGAGUAACACGUGAGUAACCUGCCCUUGACUUUGGGAUAACUUCAGGAAACUGGGGCUAAUACCGGAUAGGAGCUCCUGCUGCAUGGUGGGGGUUGGAAAGUUUCGGCGGUUGGGGAUGGACUCGCGGCUUAUCAGCUUGUUGGUGGGGUAGUGGCUUACCAAGGCUUUGACGGGUAGCCGGCCUGAGAGGGUGACCGGCCACAUUGGGACUGAGAUACGGCCCAGACGCCAACGGGAGGCAGCAGUGGGGAGUAUUGCACAAUGGGCGGAAGCCUGAUGCAGCAACGCCGCGUGCGGGAUGACGGCCUUCGGGUUGUAAACCGCUUUCGCCUGUGACGAAGCGUGAGUGACGGUAAUGGGUAAAGAAGCACCGGCUAACUACGUG